rnacentral:rRNA from 1 species
GACGAACGCUGGCGGCGUGCUUAACACAUGCAAGUCGAACGGAAAGGCCUGCUUUCCCUUGUGGAUUGCGGGUACUCGAGUGGCGAACGGGUGAGUAACACGUGAGUGAUCUGCCCCCAACUUGGGUAUAAGCCUGGGAAACUGGGUCUAAUUCCCGAUAGGACUGCAGGGUGGUGCCUGUGGUGGAAAACGAUUUUCUAGUGGUUGGGGAUGAGCUCGCGGCCUAUCAGCUUGUUGGUGGGGUAAUGGCCUACCAAGGCGGCGACGGGUAGCCGGCCUGGGAGGGGGGACGGCCACAUUGGGACUGGGACACGGCCCAGACUGCUACGGGAGGCAGGAGUUGGGAAUAUUGCACAAUGGGCGGAAGCCUGAUGCAGCGACGCCGCGUGGGGGAUGACGGGCUUCGGGUUGUAAACUCCUUGCGACCGCGAGGAAGCCACCUGGUUGGAAGGGUGGUGACGGUAGUGGUAGAAGAAGCACCGGCUAACUACGUG